UAGGGAAUAUUAGAAAUGGACGAAAGUCUGAUCUAGCAACACCGCGUGUGCGAAGAAGGCCUUCGGGUUGUAAAGCACUUUUUGGAAGGAUUAGGAAGGAAUGUACUUCCAGAAUAAGUCUCGGCUAACUACGUGCCAGCAGCCGCGGUAACACGUAGGAGGCAAACGUUAUCCGGAUUUACUGGGCGUAAAGCGCGUGUAGGUGGUUCUGUAAGUAGGGCGUGAAAGCUCCUGGCUCAACUGGGAGAGGCCGUUCUAAACUGCAGGGUUGGAGGAUGGUGGGGGGGGGGGAAAUCCGGGUGGUGCGGGUGGAAUGCGAAGAAAUCGGGAGAAACACAGUGGCGAAAGCGGCCUCCUGGACCAUUCCUGACACUCAGACGCGAAAGCUAGGGUAGCAAACGG
rnacentral:rRNA from 1 species